CUGAAUAUACCGGUUCUCGUUAGAUCACCGAAGUCAAGCAUCAUUGGGCGUGGUCAGUACUUGGGUGGGUGACCACCUGGGAACACCGCGUGCCGUU